rnacentral:misc_RNA from 1 species
UCUCCGUAGGUGAACCUGCGGAGGGAUCAUUACAGAGUUCAUGCCCUAACGGGUAGAUCUCCCACCCUAUGUUAUCAUCACUUUGUUGCUUUGGCGGGCCGUCAGGCCUCGGCUUGGCUACCGGCUCUCGCUGGUAAGCGCCCGCCAGAGAACCCCAAACCCUGAAUAUCAGUGUCGUCUGAGUACUAUAUAAUAGUUAAAACUUUCAACAGCGGAUCUCUUGGUUCUG